UUUCAUAGCCCACGCUGUGCAGCAGGUCCUGCAAGAUGGACACGUUGAUGGGGUCAUCAUCCACGAUGAGGAUUGUGUGGCCCUGGCCCUCGCUGUUGCGCGUCAGGGAGUCGUCGUUGUACUGCAUGGUGUCUUGCUGCCUGUGCGCGCGUGCAUGCGUGCGUGCGUGCGUGCGUGUGUGUGUGUGUGUGUGUGUGUGUGUGUGUGUGUGUGUGUGUGUGUGUGUGUGCGC
rnacentral:lncRNA from 1 species